CAUGCUGUACAAUCGAUGUUACUCAGUUUGUGAUGAUUUGAAAGUGCAAUUUUGUGAGUGAGAUUAUGCAAACUUUGUGCCGUAUGUAGUUGAGGACGAUGGAUAGGGAAUUGGGCAUACCUUGUGAGGAUUUGAGCUUUUAAAAUUGUUACUUUAUGCCCAAAACAAUUCUUUCUUUCAUUGUGUGAAUUUUGACAUCUUGAUUUAGGGUAAUGCUAGAACUUGCCUUGAUUCUUAGUCGAACCCUGUGUACAUAGUCUAGGUGUGUUAAAUGAUUUAGGCAAAUUCUUUCUUUAGCCCACUGAGCCAAACUGACCAACCCUACAUCUAUCACUUGCAACCCCUUUUGAGCUUAAUAAUUCUUUUGAAUUCACUUAUAAAUUUGCCUAGAUUUGAGCCGUCCCGGUCAAACUGAACUUAAGGGCAAAAGAAGGGGAGAUAGUGUAGUGGAUCCUAUGGGCAGGACUAGUGCAAAAAUUGCAAAAUGGGACAUCUAAUCCCAAAAUAGAAAAAAGUCCAGAAAAAGAAAAAGAAAAAAAAAAAAAAAAAAAGAGAAGAGAAAGAAUAAAGGGAAGAAUGUGCUUAGGCCCGCAAGAAUAGGCAAGGAUCUUAAAAAUCUGGGAAGUCUGUUGCCCAGAAUGAAGUUCAGAAUGACCUUAGCCUCGUGCCCAAAAAUUCCCACCUUAUGCCUUAAGCCACAUUACAACCAAUGAAAGACCUAAUGAGAUGCACCUAGGGCUUUGACUAAAGGGGAAGACAAAAGAAGAUAGGCAAGCUUAUGGUCAGAACCCAAUCAAGAUGUCCGGAGUGUAAACACGAG
rnacentral:lncRNA from 1 species